rnacentral:rRNA from 1 species
AUUGAACGCUGGCGGCAGCCCUAACACAUGCACGUCGAGCGAGCGGCGGACGGGUGAGUAAUGUCUGGGACACUGCCUGAUGGAGGAGGCUAACUACUGGAAACGGUAGCUAAUACCGCAUACCAUCAGAUGUGCUCAGAUGGGAUUAGCUAGUAGGUGGGGUAACGGCUCACCUAGGCGACGAUCCCUAGCUGGUCUGAGAGGAUGACCAGCCACACUGGAACGGAGAGACGGUCCAGACGCAUACGGGAGGCAGCAUUGAGGAAUAUUGCACAAUGGGCGCAAGCCGGAUGCAGCCAUGCCGCGUUGGUGAAGAAGGCCUUCGGGUUGUAAAGCACUUUCAGCGGGGAGGCGUUACCCGCAGAAGAAGCACCGGCUAACUCCGUGCCAGCAGCCGCGGUAAUAC